rnacentral:rRNA from 1 species
GCAGUCGAGCGAGACCUUCGGGUCUAGCGGCGGACGGGUGAGUAACGCGUGGGAACGUGCCCUUUGCUACGGAAUAGUCCCGGGAAACUGGGUUUAAUACCGUAUGUGCCCUUCGGGGGAAAGAUUUAUCGGCAAAGGAUCGGCCCGCGUUGGAUUAGGUAGUUGGUGGGGUAAUGGCCUACCAAGCCGACGAUCCAUAGCUGGUUUGAGAGGAUGAUCAGCCACACUGGGACUGAGACACGGCCCAGACUCCUACGGGAGGCAGCAGUGGGGAAUCUUAGACAAUGGGGGCAACCCUGAUCUAGCCAUGCCGCGUGAGUGAUGAAGGCCUUAGGGUUGUAAAGCUCUUUCAGCUGGGAAGAUAAUGACGGUACCAGCAGAAGAAGCCCCGGCUAACUCCGUGCCAGCAGCCGCGGUAAUACGGAGGGGGCUAGCGUUGUUCGGAAUUACUGGGCGUAAAGCGCACGUAGGCGGACUGGAAAGUUGGGGGUGAAAUCCCGGGGCUCAACCUCGGAACUGCCUUCAAAACUAUCAGUCUGGAGUUCGAGAGAGGUGAGUGGAA